GUUUAUUACAACCCCUCCAACAAUUAGGUGAUAUAGAAGAAAACAUUUUUGACAUUUGCAAAGGAGUGUUAUACCAUCUGUGUGAUAAUUUUUACAGGGUCAGGCCACUGGAAACAGAUUUUAAUGGUUGUGCUUCCUAUCCCUGAGAAGAAUUUAUGUGCCAGUGGAUGAGAUGAUUAUUAUGUCCCUAAAAAGAUGGUGUGGGGGGAAAAUAUGGUACUACAUAAGGGAGAGAAUUAUAGGGUUUGGCUGUUAAGGCUUGGAAAGUUCUUACAGUAAAGCAGAAUCAAGAGUGACCCAAAACAUUUUGAUGCUUACGGUAUCCCAUUUCAGAUACUGAAGUUGAUUGGACUGGUGCUUGAAUCAUAAUUUGACACUGGGAUGUGACAGUUUCUUCCUGAGAGCAAUAGGCUAGUUUAGGAGGCGCAGGGCAGACUGCCCUCCAACACCUCAAACCGCCCCCCAACAUUUGCAGCCUGAAGCAGUUGCCUCACUCUGCCUAAAUAUAGGGCCAACCCUGAGCUGAAUCCUUAUAAUCUUUGCCAGAUUGAACAGGCAAAAUGGACUGAGUGACAUCUGAUGCUGUAGAACAUGUAAAUUUCCUGGAAAUUAUUAUAAUGUAUAUUGAUUUGGCAUUUUCAUCCACUGCACCCACACACAUUUAGUCCAUCCUCUUAGAUUCAUUAUGUAUUCACAUAUAUCAAAAUCAGUUGUGUAGUUGAUAUGAUAGUGGAACAGAGCAAUUGCACAAUGAACAAGGAAGGAAAGCUAACACAAACUGAAUAAUGGAGGUACAGGGGCUCAGUCUUGGCUCUUACAGUUUUGGGAGUGUCUUUCUCAAGAAAGGAAUAUUGAAUUUGGAAUAUUGAAUAUGAAAGGCUGAACUUCAUGUAUUAAUUUUAAAUAACCAUUAUUUCUUGCAGGCCUCUAGUAGGAAUACAUUGCAUGUAUACAACUUCAGUUCAUUUUAGCAGGAUUCCCUAGAAGUAGAUUGCAUGCACGUUAAGUUAGAAAAGUAGCUCUCAGGAAGUAUUAAGCUCCAGGUGAUGGGUGGUAAAAUUAUUCAUCUUGCAAGAAAUUUAAUAAUAAUUGUAAACCAGCCCUCAGAAAUGUCCAAAUGUUUGUACUUAGGUCUCAGCAUUUGUACAUUAAUUAUAUAGUGUUUGAAGUAUUUCCAGGGAUCAUUGCAAGUUGAAGAAUUUUACCACCUAGAGCUAAAUGCUUCCUGAGAGUUAGUUAUCAAACUGAACAUGCUCCCAAUCUACUUCUGGGGAAUCUUGCUAAAAUUAUAGUAUAAUUGGGUGGACAAUAAGGAUAGCCUCAUGCCUUUUUUCUGGAAUAUAAUGGGAAUUUUGUUAGCUUGCAUUGUUCUGCUUAGAAAGAGUGUUAACCUUAGAUGUAUGACAUAAGUUGAGGUAAUGGCUUCUUGUUUUCAUAUUAUUUCAGAUAAAGUAGCACUGUAUGCCUACAGAGUGGCACUCAGCCACGGAUAAUUGUAGCAUCAUCAUCAUCAUCAUCAUCAUCAUCUAUUAUUUAUACCCUGCCCAUCUGGCUGGCUUUCCCCCGCCACUCUGGGCAGCUUCCAGCAAAAUAUUAAAAUACAAUAAUUCAUCAAAUAUUAAAAGCUUCCCUAAAUAGGACUGCCUUCAGAUGUCUUCUAAAAGUCAGAUAGUUGUUUAUUUCUUUGACAUCUGGUGGGAGGGCAUUCCAUAGAGUGGGUGCCACUACCGAGAAGGCCCUCUGCCUGGUUCCCUGUAACUUCACUUUUCGCAUUGAGGGAACCGCCAGAAGGCCCUCGGCACUGGACCUCAGUGUCCAGGCUGAACGAUGGGGGUGGAGAUGCUCCUUCAGGUAUAGUGGGCCGAGGCCAUUUAGGGCUUUAAAGGUCAGCACCAACACUUUGAAUUGUGUCUGGAAACAUACUGGGAGCCAAUGUAGGUCUUUCAGGACUGGUGUUAUGUGGUCUCGGCGGCCACUCCCAGUCACCAGUCUAGCUGCCGCAUUCUGCAUUAAUUGUAGUUUCCAGGUCGCCUUCAGAAGUAGCCCCACGUAGAGCACAUUGCAGUAGUCCAAGCAGGAGAUAAGCAGAGCAUGAACCACUCUGGCAAGACAGUCCAUGGGCAGGUAGGGUCUCAGCCUGCAUACCAGAUGGAGCUGGUAGACAUCUGCCCUGGACACAGAAUUGACCUUCCCCUCUAUGGAUAGCUGUGAGUCCAAAAUGACUCCCAGGCUGCACACCUGGUCCUUCAGGGGCACAGUUACCCCAUUCAGGACCAGAGAGUCCUCCAUACCCACCCCCUGUUCCCCCCAAACAGUACUUCUGUCUUGUCAGGAUUCAAUCUCAAUCUGAUAGCCGCCAUCCAUCCUCCAACUGCCUCCAGACACUCACACAGGACCUUCACUGCCUUCACUGGUUCCAAUUUAAAACUGGAACACAGAUGCAUAAUAUGGCAGCUUUUCUACUGGGCCUGAAGAGCAUCUGACUUAGCCAAAGGUUUAACUAUGUGUUUCUAACUAUAGAGGCUAAAGUGAUGAAUGUGAUUUUUAAAAAUUAAAUCCGUUAUUAGAUCAGUCUAUUGGGCUGUUCUCAUCUCUCUCUCCUUCCCUCCUUCAAACAUGUAUUUUGCUUCCUCUUUCUCACAUUUUUUCUACUGCAGUGGUUCUCAAAUUUUAUUCUGGGAAGUUCCCUGGAGUUUAUUGUAACCUUAUGAGGGGUUCCUAAAUUAAAAGAUUAGUAGUAGUGAACAAGCUUCUCUGAGGGACUAUGGGUCAAUAAACAGCUUCCCAUCAAACAUGACUUACUAGUAGGUGGUAGUUAGACAUGUGAGGUUAGCAAGAUCCUUAAGCUGGUUUAUUUUAAAAUGGGAAAUUUUUAUUAGAAAACCAAAUAAACAUUCAAAACAUCCAGAUGUCAAAUAAAUUCUAGCAAAUAAAUCCUAGCUUUGGGAUUGAAGCAGCUAGUUAAAAUGUGUUUUCUUUUCCUUUCCCCAAAAUGUUCUACUAUUGCAGUGUUUGUUACACUGUCACCAUAGUCCUCAUUAUAAACAUUUUAAUGAUGACCUUUCCUUUAGUGAUAAAUAUCUGUUUUCUAUGUGAACCUCUGGUCACCAAUCUCUCUUCCUAUUCUCCCUCAGAAGGCUCUCAAACAAAUUCCUAACUGUCAUUUCUAAGGGGCCUCUGUCAGCAGCACCUGCUUUCUUCCCGAGGUUCUAAAAGGGGUUUCCCUCACUCAGUGCAGGGGCACCUCUUCUCAGAAGCCUGAGAGGGAUUCCAAGUUACCUCACAACGGAUAAUAUAUUAUCAGUUAAAUGUCAAUUUUAUAAACCACAUACAACUUUAUAAUACAUUCACCUAAAUACCAGUUACAUAACAAUGCUGACCCAAAAUUACAGUUUACAGUGGUGCCUCGCAAGACGAAAUUAAUCCGUUCCGCGAGUCUCUUAGUCUUGCGGUUUUUUCGUCUUGCGAAGCACGGCUGUUAGCGGCUUAGCGGCUAUUAGCGGCUGAGCGGCUUAGCGGCUAUUAACGGCUUAGCGGCUAUUAACGGCUUAGCGGCUUUAAGAAAAAGGAAACAAACUCGCAAGAACUCGCAAGACGUUUCGUCUUGCGAAGCAAGCCCAUAGGGAAAUUCGUCUUGCGGAACGACUCAAAAAACGGAAAACUCUUUCGUCUAGCGAGUUUUUCGUCUUGCGAGGCAUUCGUCUUGCGGGGCACCACUGUACAGUUCACCUUUAGUGGCUGUACAUUGUGCUACAUGCCAACAUGCUCGGAUUAACAUCAGAGAGGCCCCUGCUGCAUUGUUCUUUCUACAGUCUGAAGUUAGGCAGGCAGCUAUGUGAAAAAAAUCCUUUAUUGUUAUAAUGGCACCGAUGUUAUUGAGUGUUCUCCCCAGAGAGGCCUGCCUGGCUUCUUCAUUGUUUAGCCUUCCUGGUUAAUGAUGCAUUGCUUUUAAAAAGGCCUUUGUGGAGAGAUGGCUAGUUGAUUAUUAGUGGGCACUGAUGUUUUUCCCUUGUACCUAUCUAUUAGGUAGAUCAGUAUUAUUAUCUCCAGAGUUACAGAUGUGGGGAGGGCUUUAAACCAGAGGAAGUGGCUUGCCAAAAGCCACUACUGAAUUAGUAGCUAAAGUGAACUUUGAAAUGGAGAGUCUGUGGUUCACAAUUCAAAUCUCUUAUUCACAACUCUACAUGAAUGCAUUAAUGGAAAUUGAACACAAAGAAUUUCAGAACAUAGAUUUUCAGCAUCAGGUUUGUUCAUAGUUGGCUGGUUAAAAAAGAAAGCAAAAUGGAUCCAGUGAGAUUUUGGGGUGGAUUCUGAUUUUAAUGUGUAUAUAUAAUAAUGGUUUGUUUUUGGUUUGGUUGAUGAUAAAAACAAAUAAAAUGACAAAUCCUAUUUAGCUAAAAACAUGUUUAGCUGGACCUGGAUGCCAUAUGUUAGAUAUUCAGUUUAAUUUACAAUUGUUCUUUGAGCUUGUUUCAUUAUUUGAAGUUAGAAUAGUUUAAAGGGUAUAGAUACUGUUUUUCUGUGGUGAUUCCAAUGUGUGUAGCUUGUGAGCAUAUCUAAAAUGGGGAAAGUCAGAGUCCUCACACUGGUCUGACCAGUGUUUUCCUGAUACAGAACAGAAUUUCAAAUCCAUUGCAAGAAGAUAGAAAGGAGAAGGGGAACAAAACAGACUGGCCCAUUGAUUUGUAAGGUUCAACACCAUAUUGACUGAGAUGCUGCUUCAUUGUCACUAGGCCCAGACCUGUAGUGUAACCUGGAAGAAAGCAGCACACUGGAGAUUCCAGUGUAGGACCUAGUGAGUUUAGGAUCACACCAAAUGGUUGUCCUGUGAAAAAAGAUAGUCAUCUCCAUCUUGGAGUCCCAGCUGCAUUUCUCAUAAUGGUGUAUUACUGCAGUUUCAAUAGUACAUGGAAUUAACAACACUGUUUCUUGUUUUCUUUUGUCUUUUCUGCAGGAACGAGUGGAAUAUCUCUUUCUCAUAAUUUUUACAGUGGAAGCAUUUUUAAAAGUAAUAGCAUAUGGACUUCUCUUUCACCCUAACGCUUACCUCCGCAAUGGCUGGAAUUUACUAGAUUUUAUAAUUGUGGUAGUAGGGUAAGUAUUCAUUGUUUAUGUACGUGUUUCCUCUAUUUAAACACAAAAUGGGAAUGAGAUAUUGUGUCUGUAUGAUGAAAUUAAAUACAUCCUACCUUUUUGGGCAGGGCUGUGGUGCCUUUAACAAGUGCUGCACAUACAGAAAUCUGGCAGAAAAAUUCAGAGGUUUCCAAUUCAGAGGUUAUUGAGGUGGCUUUUAGAUUUUUUGAUUUAGAUUUAUUGCGGCCAUUGGCCCAUAUCGAAAACAAUACAUCAGAAUUUAUCCAUAAACAAUACAAUUUAAACAGUUCCAAGUUAAAACACCCUUAUAAAACCAAUUUUACUUUAGUUAAGUAAACACUAUACACAAUAAGCUCCCUCUAUGUAAACCGCAAUUCCGAUCCAUCAGAUUUUGGGGGUAUACGUCUUAGUUCUGGCACUUAUUGAUGGUUCUUAAGUUUAGCUAAGCUGUCAGAAACAUACAGUGAUCCAUUUCUCCUCUUUUGAAAUAAAACAUUAAUCAGGUAUCUAGCGAUUGCCAGGGAUCUACUUGUAUCUUCGUCGUUUAAUAAGUAUAUUAUUUGGGCUUCCUGAGGACUGUCAGCAAUUCUCGAUAAAUAUGGGGCCAGAAACUUGGACCGUGAAGCCGAAUGUAAUGGACAACAGAAGAUUAUAUGAUAUAACGAUUCUAUAGAUCCGCUUUUACAGUCACAGAGUGUGAGAUCUGUCCGUUGGAGAGUCUGUUACCCAACACGUUUGAUGGGAAAGCAUUGAAUCUAGCCAUUAUAAAGGCAUACCUGUGCGUCACCACAGAUAAGGUAGUUAAGUAAGAUGGAAGUUUCGUUGGUGGUGUUAAGCCAAGGUUUAUCGGCGAACAGGUGCCACCACCUGUCGCAAUAUUAAAUUGUAAAUCCAUCUCCUCUAAUUUGUGAGUUAUAAUUCUUUUGGCCGAAGUUAAAUCCAAUUUUAAUAGUUCAGAUGGAGAUAGUCCUAGGGACACAAGUUUCCCAUGUAUUAUUUUUGCCCAGGGGCUAGGAAGUCAUCUCUCCAGAGGCAUUGUAUCAAGUGGAGAUUUGGAAGUUUAUGCCAUAAAGCCAACCAGUAACAGAGGAUGCAUUUCCAUAAUGUGGUUUCUAGAGAUGUAACAUUUAGUUCCAGUCGUAUAGCAGUAUUGCUUACACACCUGGGUAAUUUUAACAACCUUCUUAAAAGCUGGUUUUGGAUUACCUCCAAAUGGGUUAGAUUAGCAAAGGACCCCCAUAAUGGGACUGCAUAUGCUAUUGUUGCAAUCACCUUUGCCUUGAAAACUUUUAACACUGAUGGAAUAUGGAAAGCCCCAUCUGAAAAGAAAAAACGCAAUAGCGCAUAGGAAAGGGCUUUAGCUCUGUUUAAUACAUAUGCUACAUGGACCUUCCAGCCCAUGUUGUGUUGGAGAAAGACUCCCAAGUACUGAAAUUUAAAGACUUGGUCAAUAGCUUUUCCGUCUAUUCUUCAAUUAUAGGUUUUUCGACUCUUGGUGAAAAUUAGGACUUUGGACUUAACAUGGUUAAUUGUAAGAAAAUUUGAUUUGCAGUAAACAUCGAAAAUUUUUAAUGCCCUCCUAAGGCCGACUCUUGAAAAGGAUAGGAUCACUGCGUCGUCUGCGUAGAGUAGAAGGGGGCAACGAUAUUGGGCAAGACGGGGGGCGUGGAUCGUUUCUUGAGCCUCUAUCAGAGGCGCCCUCAUAUCACUUAUAAAUAGAUUAAAAAAGGGUCGGAGCAAGGAUACAUCCUUGGCGAACACCUCUAUUGAUAGCUACUGAGUUUGAGAGGUCGCCUGCCGGAGUGAUUCUCACCCUAGCGGCCGAUCCGUCAUGCAAUUUAGUUAUUAGCCACAAAAGUCUUUUGUCUAUUCCCCAUCGGGCUAAUUUUCCCCAAGGCAAUCCUCUGGGGAUGCUGUCAAAAGCGGCCUUUAAAUCAAUAAAGGCCGCACAAAGUUGGCCUCUAUUUGGGGAGGAGUAUUUCCGGGCAAGGUGGUAUAAAACUAAGACCUGAUCAACCGCUGACUGAUUCGGUCUAAAACCAGCCUGUUCAGGCCCAAUCAGGUUGUUCUCUUCGGCCCACUUAGUAAGCUUAGUUAACAAGAACCGUGCAUAUAUUUUCCCAAUUAAUGACAAUAAACUGAUAUUCCUGUAAUUUCCCGGGUCAUCUGUCGAGCCUUUUUUUAUGAAUUGGAACAAUAAUCGCAUCCUUCCAUAUUCUUGGUACCUUCCCACUGUUGUUUACGGCAUCAAAGGUAGCGGCCAAGAUUUUCGCCCACCAGUCAGCAUGAAGUUUUAUAGCUUCUGCCGGGGGGCUUUUCCGAUUUUAAGAUUAGAAAUAAGUCCGUGGAUUUCUUCCGGGUCAGUGGGUGGCCAAAGAGGGAGCUGCUCAUAGACUCCAUCGAUUGUAUUAAUAUUAAGGUCUGGUAAGGCAAAAUAAUUCCUUAGAAAGGAUUCCCAAAUUGGGGCAGGAAUAACUGUUAAGGGGUAUCUUUUAGAUUUUCUGUUAACCAACAGCCAGAAUUUUCUGGAAUUACGGGUACUUGAGGCAGCUAUAAGUGCUUGCCAGCGGUUCAAUUGCCAUUCCUGUUUGGCCUUUUUCUGCACAUAUUUGUAAGCUGAUUUUGCCUGAUAGUACUCCUUGGGAAGCGUAAUCGCCCCUGAGGAUUUGUAAUCAUUAUAAAUAGCACAAAGAUGUUGUUUGGCUUGUUUGCAAUUACGGUUAAACCACGGUGCACCUGUCUUGGGGUGGGCCCAAUUUGCCUGGUGGGUUGGGACAGAAAAGAAUGACGUGAGGUCAUUCAACAGAUUGGCAAAUAGAUUAAUAGUUUGAUCGUGAUCAUAUGAAGUUAUGCCAAGGGCUGAAUAGGUUUGUAUGAUCUCCUGCUGAAAAAUUCAGAAUAUUUUUGAGCCUGCGUUACAGACCACUUUAUACCCUUCACUCGUAAUGCCGUAUUAAUACCCUCUACCGGGUUUUCUGCAUUAGUAUCUAAUUGAGUUAGAUGACCGUGCUCGUCCCCGUGCCAGUCUAGGUCAAACGUAGCAGCAAGUGGAAGGUGAUCACUAUAGUGAAUAUUGAAGGUGGCUUUUAGAAUCAUCAAAGUUAUGAACAUUAAGGAUAAACUUAAGUUUUGUUGGGUGAAGUUUUUGUUGGCGUUCUUUGAGGCCAGAAUUCACAUGACAUGGAAGAUGAGUGAUAGGACUUCCCUAACAAUGUUUUAUUUGUUCAGAGGAGGUUGUGGUUUCUGAUUGGGGUUGCAGCUCUGAAAAGUGGCUCAAACUUUUCUUCCAACCUUUCCCUGAUUUAGAGUAAACUUUGGCUAUUGCUUCUGAUUUGUUUGGAAAGAAAAAAAAUCACGAGUACCACUUUGGGUGACAUGGCAUACCAAGGCUUUUGGUUUGUUGUUUCCAGUGCAGUGAAGUGAAGACUUUUGAGCAGCAUGCACCACCAGUACACUGCUCAUUCACACUAAAUCUUAGUUAAACAAUAACUAUGUUUUCAAGUGAUGUGGAAACCAGCCAUAGCCAAGCGAUCAUGUGAUGAAACCACAUUUUGUAUUAUAAUUUGCACAGAUUUAGCUUAAAUUAGGUUAAAGUAAAUUAAAUAGCACCUAACUUUCAAAGCCAGUUUUCAAAAUACAUUAUUUCUAAGAGAGAAGAUAGGGUAAUAAUGACAGUAGUAAAUCUAUGUGGAGCUAUUAAAUGAAAGACUGAUCACAAUCUUGGCAUAAGUGCCUCUUCUGCUAUAAGUGGGUCUCUUCAGUCAUACUAAUGAGUAAUGAUGACUGCAUAGCUACUAUAGAACUUUUGUCCCCUUUUACUGUGUAGGCAAUUCCAGAUAGUAGUUCCUCCAGCUCCAGCACAGGAUGAACCUCAAAUAGGCAUUAUUUGACAAUACAUGGCUUGGUAGUAUGGUAGCUAGGGUACAUUGAUGUGCCACCUGUGCUAAUUUGUAUUUUAGGGAUAUUGUCUUGGUGAGUUUCCCCACAUACUCCUGCCCUUUUUCAUGUUGAUGCCAGCUGACUGACAUCAAGAUUUCCAAACAAUAAUUGAUUCCUACAACUUUCCAGUAUGCUGUGGAAUCUCUAAAAGGGAUUAGUUAUGUGCAGUAUAAACAGCAUCACAGCUCUGCAGUGUUAAUUAAUUUGAAAUAAUCAUGGAAUCAGAAACACCCUGAAACCAAUUCACUAGCUGUUUUAGGUGACAGAUAAUCUCACUGAGCAUGCAUGCUUAUCACUAAAGUAGGGCAUUUUAAUGAGCUUCCAAUGGGUUGUAUCCUGUGUUGUCCUUCUGUUCAUUAAAGGCUAUUUGGUCAAUCAACUUCUUCCAUGAAUGGAAGGAGAAAGAGGUGAUUGUUUGCAAAUUGACCCUUUCUUGUCAGCUCCCACACAUGAGUUGCCAAUUGCUGUAUAGCUCAGUUGGUUAGAGCAUGGUGCUGAUAGCACCAAGGUUGCUGGUUUGAUUCACCUACAGAAUAGCUGCAUAUUCCUGCAUUGCAAGGGGUUGGAUUUCCAACUAUUAUAUGCUAUAACUCUAUUAUUCUAUCUGACACACGUGGGAACCAUGGCACAUGGAAGGCUUUUUAGGUGUCCUUGGGCAGGCGACCCAAACACUGAACUUCUAAGUGAUCUCUGUGAAAUGGCAGCAGCAGCAUUUGUGUGUGUGUUGGAAUGAAAUGCCGUCUGCUUUCCCUAUCACCUAUACAAACCCUGGAACUGCUCAACAGCAGGUUUUCCUUAUUCUGUAAUGAGGGAAUUAAGGAAAGCCAUUACUGAUUCCAGUCUAAAAUCCUCUUAUGUAAUAGGAAUGCUAGAAGGAAUAGCAACUGGUUACACAAUGCUACCUCAAGACUGGAAAGACCUGAUGCGCAUGCUUUUAUCCCCAGCUCAGUAUGUGGUGUUUGAGAGUGAAUUUAAACAUAGCGCAUCAGCCCUGUCUGAUCCGCAGCAUACAGCCAAUCAACUUUAUGGCGCGGGUCAGUAUGAUAAUAUACCAGCCCAGGCGACCCUGACACCUGUACAUUUUAGUCGCACCGCGACCUGUGUACAACGCGCCUUCCGGAAAGUCCCUGUUUCAGGGCAACCGCUGAGCUCCUUUGUCAAUAUUAAACAACAGCAUUCGGAGCCGUACCAUCAGUUUAAAGAUAGAUUGAAAGAAUCAGUCACUAGGCAGAUUGAUAACACUACAGCUCAAAAUGAAUUAAUGAAAAAAUUGGCCUUUGAAAACGCAAACACCGAUUGCAAGAAAGCAUUGCAGUCAAUCUUACAUCGCCCUAAAUAUGACCUGGCCGAUAUGAUUCAAGCUUGUGCGGAUGUCGGUAGCCAGAGCCAUGCGAUGUCUUUGCUUGCCGGCGCGAUCCAAGCUACUAAUAAACCUACAGGUAAUUGCUUUAAUUGUAAGCGCCCAGGCCAUUUUGCUAAGCAAUGCAGAGCCCCUGGCGGGGGGGGGGCAAACAAGGAUGGUGCUGCCAACAAGGCUAGACCUUCCAAAAAAUGCCCGAAAUGUGGAAAAGGCUAUCAUUGGGCUAAUCAAUGCAGGAGUCCGGGAAACAUAAAUAUUUUAUGAUCUCCACAAUCAGGAUGAGCAGAACAUAACUGAUUGUCCAUGGUAAGCAUAAGGGUUGUUGGAGUAUAUGUGUCUUUCUCAUUUUGUGUUAUGUCAUGCUCUCCAUGGCAGCCAUUUUAUGUUAUGCCACACACAUCCAUAACAGCUCUUUUGUGGCUGGUGUCCCUAGUACUCUCUUAAAAGUGAAAAUGUGCUCACCAGUCCAAAAAGGUUGGCAACCCCUGACCUACACUGUCCUAGAGAAUUCCCUGACAUUAUGGUCACCAAACAGGAUACUAUUUGGUGCACCACCCAAUAAGGGUCACAAUAACUCAGUAACAGGACACCUUUGCAUAGUUUCCUUAGGGCCUGGCCUGACUGAAGGCCCAACCCAAUUAUCACACUGCUUCUGAUCUCAGCCUUUCUGGACCUCAGCUACUGACCAGUAUUACCAGCUGUUGGUGCCACUCACAGCAGUAAAAACAUUGUGCCAUCAAUGAGCCUGCCUUCAAGUUCUGUUUCAGAAAGAAGAGACUGGUUUGCUUACAUUAGCAAUAUGAAACUGUACCGAGAAAAAGGAAGAGUAAGAAAUGCAAGAAAUGGAUCCAGACCCAGUUAUACCCUUCUGAAGGAAGACACACUUGAAGAUUUGUAGUUUUGUAACAAUUAUCCUUGGACUGGGACAAAUGCUGCUUUUUUAGUAGCUGCUUUUUUAAAAAAUGGAUUUAACCUCUGAUAAUUUAUGGCC